rnacentral:rRNA from 1 species
AUUGAACGCUGGCGGCUGGCCUAACACAUGCAAGUCGAACGGAUGAAGGGAGCUUGCUCCUGGAUUCAGCGGCGGACGGGUGAGUAAUGCCUAGGAAUCUGCCUGGUAGUGGGGGAUAACGUCCGGAAACGGGCGCUAAUACCGCAUACGUCCUGAGGGAGAAAGUGGGGGAUCUUCGGACCUCACGCUAUCAGAUGAGCCUAGGUCGGAUUAGCUAGUUGGUGGGGUAAAGGCCUACCAAGGCGACGAUCCGUAACUGGUCUGAGAGGAUGAUCAGUCACACUGGAACUGAGACACGGUCCAGACUCCUACGGGAGGCAGCAGUGGGGAAUAUUGGACAAUGGGCGAAAGCCUGAUCCAGCCAUGCCGCGUGUGUGAAGAAGGUCUUCGGAUUGUAAAGCACUUUAAGUUGGGAGGAAGGGCAGUAAGUUAAUACCUUGCUGUUUUGACGUUACCAACAGAAUAAGCACCGGCUAACUUCGUG